GAGCAGAUGAUGAAAAAAGUGAAUAAUUGCUUAUUGGUUAUUCCAUGAAGCUUUCAUAAUCGAGCUUUUUAAAACUGAUGCUCA